UUUGAACACAAAUGUGGGAGGACUAGUUGCAUAUCAUACUGUUAUGUUGAUGUAUGUAAAGAUUUUUUUUUCACUGGAAGGAGUUAUUCUAUUAAUGCAUACAUAUUAUUUGAAUCAUGUGGUAUCUUAUGAAUUAUACAUUUAUCCAGAGGAACUGGAUACACUGAGAGCCCGCAACUGAGAUACGCACCUGACAACCUCACUUAAAUGUUAUUAUCAUACCCAUUCAAUGGAAAUGUUAUACCAGCCCAAACUAACCUGGCUUACAGUCUUUGAAAACGUUCCAGUUAUCAUUAUCAUUAUCAUCAUUUAUAUAGCGCCAACAGAUUCCGUAGCGCUUUACAAUAUUUUGAGAGGGG